CCUAUCUCUGCUCUCACUACAUCCUGGACAGUCUCUGUGGUCUUUAGAUGACUUUGGCUUUAUCAUCCAGGCCUAAAGCAUGCCUCCAACUCAAAGGAUUUUCAGACCAGAGUUCCAUCUUGGCCUUGGAAUUGAUUUCAACAAAUUUUCUUAGGUGAAACCUUCCAAGUUACAUGUUUCAGCUGUUUGAAACAAGAACUAAGGAGGCAAAUAUAGUAUUUCAAACCUCAUCACAAUUUAUUAAUGCUACAGAGAGGAAUACUGUGUUUAAUGUCCCAGGAUCUCUAUGCCAUUUGAUGCUUCAAAUCUUUUAUCUUCAUUAUCACCAUCGUCUAAUGAAACAAAAGGUAUGUGGAGUGGCCCCUUCUGUUAUUUGAGACAGUAGUAGAUCCUAAAGAUGCCAUACUUCGGCUUCUCUCAAGGAAUUUUCAGCUGGUAAGAAUUACCUUGAUGUUCCUAUUUAUUUUCCAUUUCUGAUCUACUACUAUGCAAAACUCACAGGAAGAAAGGGCUAUAUGUCUUCAGCAUGGGGAGAUGGAGUUCAAGGAAGUGAGAUGAAUUAGAAAAGGAAAAGAAAAUGCACUCAGAUAUGUAGUACCCUUUCUCUUCCUGUUAUGAGUUCCAGAGAGCUCAUGAGGGAAUCUCAUUGCUUGUUCAAAUGCCCACUCAUAGCCAAAGGCCAAAGCCCUGGUUUUCAUUUCUCAUCAUCCAACCCUAGUAGCCAUACCCAGAAGAAUACAAGGUCUUGCAUCCAGGAGUUAUAUACCACCAUGGAGACCUGGCCUAGCUUCCCAGGAAACACUGGUCAGGAGGAUACCAUUAUAGCCCAGACCAAAGUCACCCUUCAAUACAAGUUGAGAGAUGCACAAAGAAAUAAGUGCUCAGGGCAGUAUUUCUCCAGAGAGCUAUUUUGGAUUCCACAUAAGAGUAAUGGUGGCCUUGGAUAAAUCAUUCCUCUCAUUUAUGUGCUGAAUGGGAGAAAACGAGUCAACAACUGAUGCAUGCAAAAGCAUUUGGAGGUGAUGGAUGGAGACAUUAUGGUGCAUUUCGUCAAUGGCAUGCCAUUAGAGAAAACCAUUUCAUAGAGUAAAUUAAAAAACAAACCAGCUACGUGACACACUUGGAAUUGCCACUGGCCAUGUGGGUUUUUCUCCUUCAGGAAUGAAGCUACUUGGGAUUGACACUGCCAUUAGCAGGCAGACUCCCUUUCCUAGGCUAGCUGCCUGUGCUUGUCUGAGUUUUAUGCCACACCUCGCACGUCCCCAUAUCUAUGGCCACUCAUGUAACUGGAGAAACCUGUGUAUUCCAGACCCCAACUUUCUUUUAUUGUUGUCUUAACUAUUAUUUACAUCUUUUAUUACCAUUUACCUUCAUGUGUCAAUAUCUUGUUUUCUUCAUCUAGUUAUAAAGACUCUUUCAUGGUAAAUACUGGGUCUUACAAAUGAAGCUUACUAGCACAGCACCUGGCUUAUGGUGUUCAGUAAAUAUUUGUUGAUUUCAUCUGUGAUUGAUUUUGCCUAUUUUUCUCGCAUACCUAGCUGUUAUUUGCCAAAUAGUGAUUAAUUCAUUAAGAAGGUGUUUCUUCAGACCUAGAUGCUGGGAAUGCAGAUAGAAGGCAUGGUCUCUGACCUUGGGGAGCUCAUAUGCAGACACGCAACAAUCAGAACGUGGCACAGCUGGACGUAUAUGUGGGAGGCUAUGGCAGCACCAAAGGGGGGUGUUCUGGGUCAAGAUUGGCAGCUGGUCCUGUGCUACAAAAUCACACUAUGUCAGGCCAAAACUGAUCUCUCCAUCUUUGAUUAUUUCUGAAUGUCAAGCUGAAAAAUCAGUUCAUGCUCAAAAUGGAAUGUCCAAAUGCCAAAGUGGGGCAUUAUCUUUGAAUUGCUCUGUGACCAUGGUGAUACCACUGAUCCUCUCUGAACCUCUCCUGAUCUCCAGAGGCUGACUUUACUGGGGCACCAGGGAAGAUUGGAGCUUCUUAGGGAGUUUUCUGAAUCAGUGUUUUUCUCUCCCAUGGAAAAGCAAAGUAAGAGGAGGAAGGUAGAGGGGACACUUAGAAAAGGGAGGGAAAAGUAGCUCUAAACUUCUGGAAGAGCCAUGCUAGAAGGCCGACACAUCCUGCUAUUGAAUGCAAGAUAGGAGAAAACAAAAUAAAACAAACAAACAAACACAGAAGCAAACAACAACAAAAAUGUUUUGUGCUAAGAACCUGACAUCCAGAAGUGGUCCUGGGGCCUUCCGUGAAACCACACAUUAGGACCAUCCCAUCCUGGAACCUUCCCCACAAGCAAUUGUUCCUACCCCAUACCUAGCAGUGUUUCCAAAUGCCUCACCUCAUGGCCAAAUCCUUAAAAGUAGAUCUUAAUUCACUUUUGUUUAAUAAUUACACAGAAAGCAUCUUAAAACUUUCAGGAAAGUGGGAAUAGAGCAUGAAAAGAGACUAGGAAGCAAAAUAAUAUCUGGAUGUUGAUUCUGCCAAAGCUGCACAUCCUUGCUGGAUGAGAGUGGGGAAUGGGGCAUUAUUCUGAGACACAGCAAGUGUUUUAUCUG
rnacentral:lncRNA from 10 species